rnacentral:rRNA from 2 species
GCUUGCUCUCUGGAUUCAGCGGCGGACGGGUGAGUAACACGUGGGCAACCUGCCUGUAAGACUGGGAUAACUCCGGGAAACCGGGGCUAAUACCGGAUAACUUCUUUUCCCGCAUGGGGAGAGGUUGAAAGACGGUUAUGCUGUCACUUACAGAUGGGCCCGCGGCGCAUUAGCUAGUUGGUGGGGUAACGGCCUACCAAGGCGACGAUGCGUAGCCGACCUGAGAGGGUGAUCGGCCACACUGGGACUGAGACACGGCCCAGACUCCUACGGGAGGCAGCAGUAGGGAAUCUUCCGCAAUGGACGAAAGUCUGACGGAGCAACGCCGCGUGAGUGACGAAGGCCUUCGGGUCGUAAAACUCUGUUAUCAGGGAAGAACAAGCAUCGUUUAACUGACGGUGCCAUGACGGUACCUGACCAGAAAGCCACGGCUAACUACGUGCCAGCAGCCGCGGUAAUACGUAGGUGGCAAGCGUUGUCCGGAAUUAUUGGGCGUAAAGCGCGCGCAGGCGGCUUCUUAAGUCUGAUGUGAAAGCCCACGGCUCAACCGUGGAGGGUCAUUGGAAACUGGGAGGCUUGAGUGCAGAAGAGGAGAGCGGAAUUCCACGUGUAGCGGUGAAAUGCGUA